rnacentral:lncRNA from 1 species
GCGCACCCUCGCGGCUCGCCCGCCCGGGCCGGCCGUGCACUUGUCUUCGCGCUCGGGCCGGGCGCGGGGCUCCGCGGCGGCGGCCGUCUCGUCUCGGCCGGUCUGCCAGCUCGUGGGAGCACAGAUCCACUCUAAAGACCACUGCGAUCUGAGCUGUCAGCAGCCGGCCUCCUGGGGCCCUGCCCCCCCUGCACCCCGUGUCUGUCCUCACAGGCCGAGGGGGAAGCCAGGUGGCCACAGCCACUGCCAGCCAUGUGGUAGCCCAGUGGGACCAAAGGGGACAGGCCCUUUGUUGGUGGCUCAUCAGGGAGACCCCUGCACCCCAGGGUAAGUGGAUCCCAGACUCGGGUCACCUUUAGGGGUGGGGGCAGCUAACAUAGGGGUUGGAUAGAAAAACUGGUGACUUAAGAAAGUGCCAACCUUUGAAAUAACGCUAACAAUAUAACAGUAAUAAUAAUAAUUCUGCUUUCUAGAGCCCCCCAGAGUCACUGUCCCCUUUCUCCCAUCGCUGAUGGUGGGGAAUCUGCUCAGAGAGGCUAGGUGACCCGCCCAGUGUCACACAGCCUGAAGGGGGCAGUUGCACCAAGUGGAAGGGCCCCAACCCCCACAGUUUCCACCACCCAGCUCCCGUGGCCCCGCUCCCUGCAACAGCCCUUAGGGAACAGCUUCUUUGGUCCUUCCUUCCCCUGCAAACAUUGACUGACAUUCUAGGGUCAGCAGGGAGCUGCCGAUGAGGGUGUGGGGAGGACAGAGGCACCAGUCCUAGAUGUGUGGGGUCGGUUACUCCAUCAACAAACACCAAGCAGUUACGGUGUACCAGACCCUGAGCUGGGCAGUGGGGACACGGUGGGUGCUGAGGUGGCACCAGGUCAGGUCUUGUGAUAUGUGGGGGGAAGACAAUAAAACAUAGUGAUGUCUUAGAGAAUGCCUGGGGGAGAGGGAAAGGGCAGAAGGGCCUCUCCAGGGAGGUGACCGUGAGCUGAGAUCUGAAGGAGGAGGAGGAGAUGGCCAGGCCAGAGCUGGGAGAACAGUGUACUAGGCAGAAGGAACAGUACGUGCAAAGGUCCUGAGGCAGAAAUGACUUGGCAUGUUUCAGGAACAGUGAAGAGGCUGGUGUGGCUGGAAGAGAAUGAGGGAGGAGGAGAAAGAAGAAAGAUGAAGGCAGGGAGGUCUGCGGACAGGGAUUGAGGUGCAGGAGUGGACUGCAGAGCAAUGGGGAGCCAUGGAGGGUGUAUGAGCAGGGGAGAAACAUGGUCUGAUUUAUGAUUUUCAAAAGCUCCUGUGGCUGCUGUGGAGAGCUGGGACUGUCAGGGCAGGAGUGGAAGUGGCAGAAGGCCAAUAGGGGAAGCCGAUGAGGCAUCUGGGAAGAGUUGGCAGGGCCAGGACGAAGGUGGGCCUCAGGGAUGGAGAGCAGCGGGCAGAUUCUGGAACUGAGCUGGGCAUGGAGGAUGCGUGUGGUCAGGUUUUUGCCUGAUGCUGAGGAACCGCAGGGAGGGAAGGAGGGAUUCAUUGUGCUGGGGGAGAUCUGGGAGGGCAUCCUGGAGGAGGUGUUCUUGCUCUUUGAACUGAGUCUGGAAGGGCAAGUAGGAGUUUGCUGGUGGCCAGCUGGAGCUGUGCCUGGGGUCUAAUUGUACAGAUGCCGUGAGGGCCUGGGGGAGCCACUGAGCACUUGGAAUUAGGACAGAUCCCUCCAGGGAGCCUGGCACAGAGUGGCCGAGAGUCACGGAGGCCAGGAAGGCACUUCUGAAAUGGUCGAGGUUGUGAUGAGAACAGGAGCGAUGGGAGCCCCCAGGGAGCGCUUGCUGUGUGCCCGGCACAUUUCACGGGGAUUGGCUCCCUGGCCCUUCCCACUGCCCCUGGGGGCCCUCACUGCCCUGCUGAGGAAACUGAGGCUCAGAGAGGGACGGCCCCUUGUCCACGGCCACUGUAGGAGUGUCCUGGGGCUGCCGUCACAAAACCACACCCAGGGAGCUUCAAACAGCAGGAGAGUAUUGUCUCUCACUUCUGGGGGCCGUAGUCUGCGUCAGGCGGCCGGCUGGCCACCACCCCGCGGAGGCUCAGGGGACGCUCCUGGCGUCCUUAGCUUGUGGCUGCGUCCCUCCAGUCUCUGCCCUGUCUUCACCUGGCCUUCUUGUAAGGACAUUUGUUAUUGGGUGAAGGCCCACCCUAGUCCGGGAUGACCUCAUCUUAGUUUAACGACAUCUGCAAAGACCCUGUUUCCAAAUAAGGCCACGUUCUGAGGUCCCGAGUGGACGUGCGUUUUGGAGGGACACUGUUCAAACCAGUACAGCCGCGG